rnacentral:rRNA from 1 species
AUUGAACGCUGGCGGCAUGCUUUACACAUGCAAGUCGGACGGCAGCACAGAGAAGCUUGCUUCUUGGGUGGCGAGUGGCGAACGGGUGAGUAACAUAUCGGAACGUACCGAGCAGUGGGGGAUAACUAAUCGAAAGAUUAGCUAAUACCGCAUAUCUUCUGAGGAAGAAAGCGGGGGACCAUUUGGCCUUGCGCUGUUUGAGCGGCCGAUAUCUGAUUAGCUAGUUGGUGGGGUAAAGGCCUACCAAGGCGACGAUCAGUAGCGGGUCUGAGAGGAUGAUCAGCCACACUGGGACUGAGACACGGCCCAGACUCCUACGGGAGGCAGCAGUGGGGAAUUUUGGACAAUGGGCGCAAGCCUGAUCCAGCAAUGCCGCGUGUCUGAAGAAGGCCUUCGGGUUGUAAAGGACUUUUGUCAGGGAAGAAAAGGGCGGGGUUAAUACCCCUGUCUGAUGACGGUACCGGAAGAAUAAGCACCGGCUAACUACGUG